rnacentral:lncRNA from 1 species
AAGGCAGGGAUUUUCUGUAUAGCCCUGGCUGUCCUGGAACUCACUCUGCUGUAGACCAGGCUAGCCUCAAACUCAGAAAUUCGCCUGCCUCUUCCUCCCAAGUGCUGGGAAUAAAGGCGUGCACCACUAACACCCGGCAAAAAAAAAAAAAUCAGUAAAUCUUUUAAAGAGAAAAAUUAAGUCAUUGCGAGUCCAAAAACACCUUGUAAAAAAGGAGUUUAGAGAUCUUAGUUAGACUUGUCUGUUGUUGUUUUGGUUAAUUUUGUUGUUUUGUUUUGGUUUGAGGCAGGUCUCACUGUGUAGCUCUGACAGGCCAGGAACUCGCUAUAUAGACCUGCUUGCCAGUACCUCAGCAGCAUUCGCUACCGUAGUCACCAUAACCACCAUAACCACCCACCAUAACUACCAUAACCACCAUAACCACCCACCAUAACCACCCACCAUAACUACCAUAACCACCCACCAUAACCACCCACCAUAACUACCAUAACCACUAUAACCAGCCUGCUUACUUGGCUUUGUUUCGAGGGCUUUUGUUUUAGAGCUCUUUCUUUUUACCCUUCUCCGUGUGUGUGUGUGUGUGUGUAUGUGUGUGUCUGUCUGUCUGUCUGUCUGUCUGUCUGUCUGUCUGUCUUAGUGUUUGUACAUGUAAUCAUGUAUAUGUGUGUAUUAGUGUUUGUAUGAGUACAUAUAGUAGUCAUGUAUGUAUGUGUAUUAGUGUUUGUAUGUGUGCAUGUAGUCAUGUGUGUAUGUGUGCUCAUGUGUGCAGAGGCCAGAGGUAGACAACAGGUAGUUUUCCAGUUUCUCUCCAUUUUGUUUUUUUGAGACAGAGUCUCUCAGUGAACCUGGAGCUCACUAAAUUGACAAGAUUCGCUGGUCAGCCUGUCUCUGCUUACAGGUGCUCACCAUCCAUCAACCUGACCUUUCCAUGGGUGCUGGCCACUGAACUCAGGUCUUCACGCUAGCAUGACAGACAUUUUGCCCACAGAGGUAUCUCCCAGGCUUCUAGGGUUUUUGUUUGUUGUUUUUGAAACAGGAUCUCAUUAUGUAAUCAGAAUGACCCCAAACUGGAGGUCCUCCGGCCAGUCUCCCUGCUCAACUAUUGACAGGAGUUUUAACUAGAUCUUAUUUAUCUUUUCUAAUUCCAACACUGGGAAAGUGGAGGCAGGAGAGUCAGAAAUUCA